rnacentral:rRNA from 1 species
AUGUACAUAACCCCCCUUAUAUCAUCGGCUCCAGGUUUUCUUGCAAUGGUUUUCGGUGGCGGCUUCAAAUUUUUAGUGGGAGUGGGAUGUGGUGUCUAUGUAGCUCAGAACUACAACGUUCCAAAUGUCAAGAAGCUGUUCAACACGUAUGUUUUCCUGGCAAAGCACGUUGAGGAAACUUACCGUAAGCCGCCGAAGAAAGACGACGACUGA